GUUCACAUGGCGUAGUGGUUAACGCGCUUACAGUAGCUGCAUAAUUCUUUCGGCAGCAGUCGCGCGUUCGAGUCUCCCUGUCGACU